rnacentral:rRNA from 1 species
UACGUAGGGUGCGAGCGUUGCCCGGAUUCAUUGGGCGUAAAGGGUGCGUAGGCGGCGCGGUAAGUCGGGUGUGAAAUCCUGGAGCUCAACUCCAGAACUGCCUUUGAUACUGAAGAUCUUGAGUUCGGGAGAGGUGAGUGGAACUGCGAGUGUAGAGGUGAAAUUCGUAGAUAUUCGCAAGAACACCAGUGGCGAAGGCGGCUCACUGGCCCGAUACUGACGCUGAGGCACGAAAGCGUGGGGAGCAAACAGG